UGUUUUAUCCACUACCUUAUAUACCCAGCGCUUAGCACCAUGCUUGAAAGAAUGUCUCAGGUGAGGAAAUCAGCUCAGAGAGAAGUGACUUGCUUGAAGCCACACAGCAGGCAGCCAAGCCCAGCAGAACUGCUUCUGCGAAAGGACUUGGCCCCAGGUGGAGAAAUCCUACAAGGCAGCUCAUCCCACAUCCCUUCUUACAAAUGAGACACUAAGGCCCAGAGAGGUUAGAGACUUGGCUAAGCUCACACAGCUCACUAGAGGGAGAGCCAGCUGUACCCUUGGUAUUAAUUGGAGCCACCGUGCCCCUUCUGCCCAGGCAAUUCAUCGUGUCUCAAGGCAGAAAUACCACGUGUCCUACUACCAAGCAGUGGUUCUUGGCCCUGGAUGAUUUUUUCCUUCCAGGGGCUAUUGGACAACAUCUGGAACGUUUUUGGUUGUCACAAUUGGAGGGUUGCUACUGGCAUUUAGAGGACAGAGGCCAGGGAUGCUGGUGAAUGUCCUACAAUGCUCAGGACAGCCCCCCUCAACAAGAAGUUAUCUCACCCCAAAUAUCAAUCGUGCCAAGCUUGAGAAAUAUCACACUAAAGGCUUUUCAUAGAUCAGAAGGGGAAAUUAGUUUGGGGGUCAAGAAGCAACUGUUCCACUCCCCCUGGAUGAUACUACAGAAUAAUAACAGCAACUCACACCAAGAAAUUGAUUUUACAAACACCAGACGCUUUCAUAAGCAUAGUAUUAUUUAAGCCUCAUGGUAACCCUGAAAAGGUAGGUGUGAUUAUUCCAUUUUACAGAUAUGGAAAUAGAGUAUCUGAGAGUGGGUAUGACCUGCCCAAGUCCACACAGGCAUGAAGCAGACAGGAGCAGGGCUAGGAGCCAGAUGUGUUCACUGCUGUGGCUUUGCGUUAGAUACUCCAGCUUCUUCUCAUGCUAGGACCGGGCCCUGAGUGAGACAGAGUGCCUGUGUUCUAUGAUGCUAGAGUCUGGGGAAGGAGGGACCCAUGACCAUUUAGAAAAUAGAUAACUUCCCAGCUACCUAAAAUAAAUUACUCAGUACAUUCCACUUCACUGAGUCUCACUGAUCAAAGUUAAGGAUCAUUAGGAAAAACAAAU
rnacentral:lncRNA from 1 species